rnacentral:rRNA from 1 species
UACGGGGGGGGGCAAGCGUUGUUCGGAAUUACUGGGCGUAAAGGGCUCGUAGGCGGCCAACUAAGUCAGACGUGAAAUCCCCUCGGCUUAACCGGGGAACUGCGUCUGAUACUGGAUGGCUUGAAUCCGGGAGAGGGAUGCGGAAUUCCAGGUGUAGCGGUGAAAUGCGUAGAUAUCUGGAGGAACACCGGUGGCGAAGGCGGCAUCCUGGACCGGUAUUGACGCUGAGGAGCGAAAGCGUGGGGAGCGAACAGG